AAGAAGCUCAGUUGUUGGUUUCCUUCUUGAAACAAUAUAGUUUUGUCUUGGCUUUUUAAACUGGCAUGCUGUUAAACGCUAUAGUUUAUUGGUGGUUGUUUACUAUUAAUUUUGUUUAAUGGUUUUAUUAGGCGUGUAUAUUUUAAAAUUUAAUGUAAAUUGAUUGCUUGAGUCGGUAUAUGCUAUUAGGAGAUCAAAUGAGUGCCAGCUUCUGCGGUUACACUUUGUAUUACUAUGUUAGUUUAUUAUUUGGUUUAAAUUGGUUAAGUUUCAAUAAGAGACUUUAUGUAUGACUAGUGGUAGAUUUUAAUACUUUUAUUAGUUUUACUUCCUUUUUAGACAUGAAUCUGGCUUUAUUUAUAAGGGUUGUUUAUUUUAUUUCCUCAUCAAAAUGAAAAGACUUGGCAGUUGUUCUAAUUAUUUGGGGAGUGUGGGUUUAGAAAAGAGUAUCCGCUCAAUAUCUCGCUAAGAUUAUGGUUAGUGUACGGUUGUACAUAUGUGAAUGGCCUUAUAGUUAUGCUUUCUUUAAUGCAAAUCAUUGUGCUGCUUAUCUUAGAUUAUGCUUUCACUACAUUGGUUAGAUACCUUUUGAAAUAAUUGGUGUUGAUCAGGACUAAAUAGUAAAUUUAGAUGAAUUGGCUUUUUUGAAUCUUUUCUAGGACUUAGUACACACCGCCCGUCAAUCUCCGUUCUUUAAGAGGAGUUAAGUCGUAACAUGGUAAGUAUAAUAGAAAUUGUACUUAGUAAAUG
rnacentral:rRNA from 1 species